ACAAGCAGUGCUGUGUUGUUCCUGGCUCACUCGUGGUCUCGUGGUCCUCAUUAUUUAUUUUUAAAUUAAUAAUCAUUUUAAUGCGUUUGGAUAAAAGGAGGCUAAACUGGAUUCAUUCAGCUUCGUGCGAUGAUUAACUUACAGCAGCUUCUUCUUCCGAGUGUUAUUUUGUUCAUUCUACUCUGUGGCAGAACUGCAGUUGUGAGGGUCAUUGGUCGGAGUGCAGCUGCUACAGUAGGAAGCGAUGCCACCUUGUUCUGCCAGCUGAUUGAGACAAAUGAGAGACUAACACAGAUUACGUGGCAAAGGACUCGAGAAACGCUCACAAAUAAGAACUUUUAUGUCAUUACUCCAGACGGCAAAACAGAAGAUAUAAAUGGAUUAGGAGACAGAGCUGAAUUUAUUGGGAGCAUUCAAGAAAUGACUGGCACAAUUCUUCUAAAGAAUGUUACAUUAAUAGAUAAAGGAGUUUACACCUGCAUCUUCAACAUAUUGCCAAGUGGACCAUUUGAGACAAAGAUUCAUCUCGAUGUGCUAGUGUAGCUUCAUUGAGGGGACACACACAGACCUCUGCCUCGGACCAGGGUGAAGAUGAUCCAGAGCCAAGAGAUGCAACUGACCUCUACCCAGCUGUGUCCAGCACCACAUUUGCUUAUUGUGUUUCUUGAACCUUACAAAGAGGUUUUCCAUGAGAUUUUCAGGCUUUGUAAGACUGCUGUGGUCACUCCAGUCAGCACUGCUUCCUGUGAGCGAAGCUUCUCAGCUUUAAAACUGAUUAAAACCCAUCUUAGGACAACAAUGGCUGAUGACUCUUAGCGUUGAGUCAAGGAGGGCACGUGCCCUCAACAUUGAUGACUAUGUGAAACAUUUUUCUACUUCUGAGCACAACAGAAGAAUUAUGCUCUUCUAAGCUGAGAAUUGAGUAGCUUGGCACUUAGGCAGAAUUCUUAGUGCUUGCUUGCUAAGCUCUGUACUAUGUUCAUGCCGAGACGGCACCAUUGAUCAUUUUUUUCUAAACAAAUUGUGUGGGUAUUUGCAUGCG